AACAAACGCUGGCGGCGUGUCUUAAGCAUGCAAGUUGAGCGGCAAGGAGGAGAGAUCCUCCCUAGAGCGGCGGACUGGUGAGUAACGCGUGGGUAAUCUAUCUUAGGCAUGGGGAUAGUCACUAGAAAUAGUGGGUAAUACCGAAUAAGUUCCAUAAGGGGAGGACUUAUGGAAGAAAGGUGCUACGGCACUGGCCUUAGGUGAGCUCGCGUCCCAUUAGCUAGUUGGUGAGGUAAAGGCCCACCAAGGCGAUGAUGGGUAGCCGGCCUGAGAGGGUGUACGGCCACACUGGGACUGAGAUACGGCCCAGACUCCUACGGGAGGCAGCAGCUAAGAAUAUUCCGCAAUGGACGGAAGUCUGACGGAGCGACGCCGCGUGGAUGAAGAAGGCCGAAAGGUUGUAAAGUCUUUGCUAGGGGAGAAUAAGUGUGGGAGGGAAUGCCUGCACGAUGACAAGGACUAGCGAAUAAGUCCCGGCCAACUACGUGCCAGCAGCCGAC
rnacentral:rRNA from 1 species